UGUGCCUACGGGAGGCAGCAGUGGGGGAUAUUGCACAAUGGGGGGAACCCUGAUGCAGCGACGCCGCGUGGGUGAAGGAGCGUUUCGGCGCGUAAAGCCCUCUCGGCAGGGAAGAAGGAGGACGGUACCUGACUAAGAAGCCCCGGCUAACUACGUGCCAGCAGCCGCGGGAAUACGUAGGGGGCAAGCGUUAUCCGGAUUUAAUGGGUGUAAAGGGGGCGCAGACGGCAGCGCAAGCCAGGCGUGUAAGCCCGGG
rnacentral:rRNA from 1 species